rnacentral:tRNA from 1 species
GGAGGGGUGGCCGAGUGGUUGAAGGCGCACGCCUGGAAAGUGUGUAUACAAGAAAUUGUAUCGUGGGUUCGAAUCCCAUCCCCUCCGCCA